GUACAUUAGUGCUUGCGCACGACAGUAGUUUUCAUUACAUUCGAGUUUAUGUGUAAAAUCCUCUGCCAGCCGAAGCUAGCAAGAGGCCAAAGGUUCACAGGGUAGUAGUGGAUGAAAGCCACCAACGUGCACUUGCUCGCGAGAGCCAGCACCGAAGGUAACCAUUCGCAAUCAUUAAUGAUCCUUCCGCAGGUUCACCUACGGAAA
rnacentral:misc_RNA from 1 species